AAUAAAGUCAUCUAAUCCACAGCAGGAAGUAUUUCAGUUAUAAAUUUAUUACAUCGCUCUCUGGCACUAAUACUCCUAAUUAUGGGAUUAUCGGCCCUUUUAUAUUUAGAGAUGAAUUUCAAGAAAAGUGAGAGACUAAAGGGAUUUCUACAAAAAGUGAGCUUCCUGUCCUUAGUCACAUUCAAGUACAUGAUGGCUUUCUACCUGGACAGAUUAUAGUACAUGAGAGGUAAAAGUCAAUUUGUGGAAAAAACCAAACAACGUUUCUAUAAUUAUAAGGGGCAAGGGGUGACUCUGACUUUGUUCUAUAAAGGUUAAAUGUAACCUUCUUUGUUCAACCGUUGGUACAGUCCAAUGAUGGGAAAUAAUGGGAAGAACUUAGAGCGUUAACAUGGUGUUACGGGCCUGAGAGUGUUCCGAUCCACGGGAACACCCUAGUCACUCACCACACUGUUUCUGAAGGCGAUAUCUCACCACUCGGAGCAAAGAGGGACACACAGUGACUACUGUUAGCUAGGCUCCGGCCCUCUCCAGCAAUUCAGAGCUCUGACUUUUGGAAGUGAUCACAAGGACCCAAGACAGGAUGAGAGCUGCCAUGGACACAAAUAUCCUUAAUUAAGUUCCUCAUCCAGGCUGCCUGGAUAGCAAUGCAAACAUGGGAUUUGCCUGAAAAGUAGAAAGAUCUAAUGGAAGUGCCAUGUAGCUUUAGUGGAGAUGAAGGACUGGGAAGACCCUCUAAAUUUAAAGUACACUGAUGCUAUUCUGGAAACUGCACACUCAUUAGGGAUAGACAAAUAUCUAUGGACGUUACAACCUCAUAGAGGAAACAUCUUAACCAGGAAGAUGUCAAGACACCCAAGGGAGCGCAACAGCUGGGAAGUUGAAAACCCUGAGCAAGAAUCUCUGCUGUGAGGGGCUGGGGAUUUAGCUCAGUGGCAAAAGCGCCUGCCUGGCAAGUGCAAGGAUCUUCCAUGAAUCUCAGAUUUUUGUGAAAUGGAUGGACAGCACUGCUCUCUACAAAGGUGUAUUGUUAUAGAAACAGAGAACAAAUAUAACGUCAAUCGAUUCAUAAAUGGAUAUCACUGAAGAUGUGAUAUAUUGCUCACUAUUCAUUCUGUACUUGCUGUAAGAAACUGUCUUGGGGACCAGGAAUAUCGUUCGGUGGCACAGUGCCUGCCUGGCAAGUGUGAAGUCGAGAGUUUGAUUCCUGGUACCACCAAAAGCAAAAAGGAAAAAAGAAACUGUAUUGGAAGAGUAAGCAAAAUCAAAAUGGUGACAUUUGUUUACUUGUAUAACACAGUGAAUUCUCAUUAAAUGUC
rnacentral:lncRNA from 1 species